UACGAAGGGGGCUAGCGUUGUUCGGAAUUACUGGGCGUAAAGCGCGCGCAGGCGGCUCUUCAAGUCAGGGGUGAAAGCCCAGAGCUCAACCCUGGAAUGCCGGUGGAAACUGUCGAGCUAGAGUCCGGAAGAGGCGAGUGGAAUUCCUGGUGUAGCGGUGAAAUGCGCAGAUAUCAGGAGGAACACCAAUGGCGAAGGCAGCUCGCUGGGACGGUACUGACGCUGAGACGCGAAAGCGUGGGGGAGCAAACAGG
rnacentral:rRNA from 1 species